rnacentral:miRNA from 1 species
GGCGGAGGGAAGUAGGUCCGUUGG